CCUACGGGAGGCAGCAGUAGGGAAUUUUCGGCAAUGGGGGGAACCCUGACCGAGCAACGCCGCGUGAGGGAGGAAGUAUUUCGGUAUGUAAACCUCUGUUAUAAAGGAAGAACGGUGCAUGUAGGGAAUGACAUGCAAGUGACGGUACUUUAUGAGGAAGCCACGGCUAACUACGUGCCAGCAGCCGCGGUAAUACGGAGGUGGCGAGCGUUAUCCGGAAUUAUUGGGCGAAAGGAGGGGGCAGGCGGCAGUUAAGGUCGGCGGUGAAAGCCCGAGGUGAAACUUCGGUAAGCCGUUGAAACCGGGCAGCUAGAGUGCAGUAGAGGAUCGUAGAAUUCCAUGUGUAGCGGUGAAAUGCGUAGAUAUAUGGAGGAACACCAGUGGCGAAGGCGACGAUCUGGGCUGCAACUGACGCUCAGUCCCGAAAGCGUGGGGAGCAAAUAGGAUUAGAUACCCCAGUAGUC
rnacentral:rRNA from 1 species